GGGAAUGUGGCUCAGUGAUAAGAGUGCAUACUUUGCAUGUGUGAGGCCUUGGGUUCAAACUCCAGUACUGCCC
rnacentral:tRNA from 2 species